UAUUGGGCGUAAAGAGCUCGUAGGCGGUUUGUCGCGUCUGCCGUGAAAGUCCGGGGCUCAACUCCGGGAUCUGCGGUGGGUACGGGCAGACUAGAGUGAUGUAGGGGAGACUGGAAUUCCUGGUGUAGCGGUGAAAUGCGCAGAUAUCAGGAGGAACACCGAUGGCGAAGGCAGGUCUCUGGGCAUUAACUGACGCUGAGGAGCGAAAGCAUGGGGAGCGAACAGGAUUAGAUACCCUGGUAGUCCAUGCCGUAAACGUUGGGCACUAGGUGUGGGGGACAUUCCACGUUUUCCGCGCCGUAGCUAACGCAUUAAGUGCCCCGCCUGGGGAGUACGGCCGCAAGGCUAAAACUCAAAGGAAUUGACGGGGGCCCGCACAAGCGGCGGAGCAUGCGGAUUAAUUCGAUGCAACGCGAAGAACCUUACCAAGGCUUGACAUGAACCAGACCGCCGCAGAAAUGUGGUUUCCACUUGUGGCUGGUUUACAGGUGGUGCAUGGUUGUCGUCAGCUCGUGUCGUGAGAUGUUGGGUUAAGUCCCGCAACGAGCGCAACCCUCGUUCCAUGUUGCCAGCGGGUAGUGCCGGGGACUCAUGGGAGACUGCCGGGGUCAACUCGGAGGAAGGUGGGGACGACGUCAAAUCAUCAUGCCCCUUAUGUCUUGGGCUUCACGCAUGCUACAAUGGCCGGUACAAAGGGUUGCGAUACUGUGAGGUGGAGCUAAUCCCAAAAAGCCGGUCUCAGUUCGGAUUGGGGUCUGCAACUCGACCCCAUGAAGUCGGAGUCGCUAGUAAUCGCAGAUCAGCAACGCUGCGGUGAAUACGUUCCCGGGCCUUGUACACACUGCCCGUCAAGUCACGA
rnacentral:rRNA from 1 species